AGGGCCAUGGCGCGUGCCUAAUAAUGCAGUCGAACGCACAGCGAAAGGUGCUUGCACCUUUCAAGUGAGUGGCGAACGGGUGAGUAACACGUGGACAACCUGCCUCAAGGCUGGGGAUAACAUUUGGAAACAGAUGCUAAUACCGAAUAAAACUUAGUGUCGCAUGACACAAAGUUAAAAGGCGCUUCGGCGUCACCUAGAGAUGGAUCCGCGGUGCAUUAGUUAGUUGGUGGGGUAAAGGCUUACCAAGACAAUGAUGCAUAGCCGAGUUGAGAGACUGAUCGGCCACAUUGGGACUGAGACACGGCCCAAACUCCUACGGGAGGCUGCAGUAGGGAAUCUUCCACAAUGGGCGAAAGCCUGAUGGAGCAACGCCGCGUGUGUGAUGAAGGCUUUCGGGUCGUAAAGCACUGUUGUAUGGGAAGAACAGCUAGAAUAGGAAAUGAUUUUAGUUUGACGGUACCAUACCAGAAAGGGACGGCUAAAUACGUGCCAGCAGCCGCGGUAAUACGUAUGUCCCGAGCGUUAUCCGGAUUUAUUGGGCGUAAAGCGAGCGCAGACGGUUUAUUAAGUCUGAUGUGAAAGCCCGGAGCUCAACUCCGGAAUGGCAUUGGAAACUGGUUAACUUGAGUGCAGUAGAGGUAAGUGGAACUCCAUGUGUAGCGGUGGAAUGCGUAGAUAUAUGGAAGAACACCAGUGGCGAAGGCGGCUUACUGGACUGCAACUGACGUUGAGGCUCGAAAGUGUGGGUAGCAAACAGGAUUAGAUACCCUGGUAGUCCACACCGUAAACGAUGAACACUAGGUGUUAGGAGGUUUCCGCCUCUUAGUGCCGAAGCUAACGCAUUAAGUGUUCCGCCUGGGGAGUACGACCGCAAGGUUGAAACUCAAAGGAAUUGACGGGGACCCGCACAAGCGGUGGAGCAUGUGGUUUAAUUUCGAAGCAACGCGAAGAACCUUACCAGGUCUUGACAUCCUUUGAAGCUUUUAGAGAUAGAAGUGUUCUCUUCGGAGACAAGUGACAGUGUUGCAUGUCGUCGUCAGCUCGUGUCGUGAGAUGUUGGGUUUAAGUCCCCGCAACGAGCGCAACCCUUUAUGUUU
rnacentral:rRNA from 1 species